AGACCCGAAACCCGGUGAUCUAGCCAUGGGCAGGUUGAAGGUUGGGUAACACUAACUGGAGGACCGAACCGACUAAUGUUGAAAAAUUAGCGGAUGACCUGUGGCUGGGGGUGAAAGGCCAAUCAAACCGGGAGAUAGCUGGUUCUCCCCGAAAGCUAUUUAGGUAGCGCCUCGUGAAUUCAUCUCCGGGGGUAGAGCACUGUUUCGGCUAGGGGGCCAUCCCGGCUUACCAACCCGAUGCAAACUGCGAAUACCGGAGAAUGUUAUCACGGGAGACACACGGCGGGUGCUAACGUCCGUCGUGAAGAGGGAAACAACCCAGACCGCCAGCUAAGGUCCCAAAGUCAUGGUUAAGUGGGAAACGAUGUGGGAAGGCCCAGACAGCCAGGAUGUUGGCUUAGAAGCAGCCAUCAUUUAAAGAAAGCGUAAUAGCUCACUGGUCGAGUCGGCCUGCGCGGAAGAUGUAACGGGGCUAAACCAUGCACCGAAGCUGCGGCAGCGAACGUAUCACCCAAGACAACUUUACGGAGUUGACGAUUGACGGAGCGAAGCGACGUCAAAGCGUUCAUUAAAGUCGAGUUGGCUUAGGGAUACGUUCGUUGGGUAGGGGAGCGUUCUGUAAGCCUGUGAAGGUGUGUCGUGAGGCAUGCUGGAGGUAUCAGAAGUGCGAAUGCUGACAUAAGUAACGAUAAAGCGGGUGAAAAGCCCGCUCGCCGGAAGACCAAGGGUUCCUGUCCAACGUUAAUCGGGGCAGGGUGAGUCGACCCCUAAGGCGAGGCCGAAAGGCGUAGUCGAUGGGAAACGGGUUAAUAUUCCCGUACUUGGUGUUACUGCGAAGGGGGGACGGAGAAGGCUAUGUUGGCCGGGCGACGGUUGUCCCGGUUUAAGCGUGUAGGCUGGUUUUCCAGGCAAAUCCGGAAAAUCAAGGCUGAGGCGUGACGACGAGGCACUACGGUGCUGAAGCAACAAAUGCCCUGCUUCCAGGAAAAGCCUCUAAGCAUCAGGUAACAUCAAAUCGUACCCCAAACCGACACAGGUGGUCAGGUAGAGAAUACCAAGGCGCUUGAGAGAACUCGGGUGAAGGAACUAGGCAAAAUGGUGCCGUAACUUCGGGAGAAGGCACGCUGACACGUAGGUGAAGUGAUUUACUCAUGGAGCUGAAGUCAGUCGAAGAUACCAGCUGGCUGCAACUGUUUAUUAAAAACACAGCACUGUGCAAACACGAAAGUGGACGUAUACGGUGUGACGCCUGCCCGGUGCCGGAAGGUUAAUUGAUGGGGUCAGCGCAAGCGAAGCUCCUGAUCGAAGCCCCGGUAAACGGCGGCCGUAACUAUAACGGUCCUAAGGUAGCGAAAUUCCUUGUCGGGUAAGUUCCGACCUGCACGAAUGGCGUAAUGAUGGCCAGGCUGUCUCCACCCGAGACUCAGUGAAAUUGAACUCGCUGUGAAGAUGCAGUGUACCCGCGGCAAGACGGAAAGACCCCGUGAACCUUUACUAUAGCUUGACACUGAACAUUGAGCCUUGAUGUGUAGGAUAGGUGGGAGGCUUUGAAGUGUGGACGCCAGUCUGCAUGGAGCCGACCUUGAAAUACCACCCUUUAAUGUUUGAUGUUCUAACGUGGACCCGUAAUCCGGGUUGCGGACAGUGUCUGGUGGGUAGUUUGACUGGGGCGGUCUCCUCCUAAAGAGUAACGGAGGAGCACGAAGGUUGGCUAAUCCUGGUCGGACAUCAGGAGGUUAGUGCAAUGGCAUAAGCCAGCUUGACUGCGAGCGUGACGGCGCGAGCAGGUGCGAAAGCAGGUCAUAGUGAUCCGGUGGUUCUGAAUGGAAGGGCCAUCGCUCAACGGAUAAAAGGUACUCCGGGGAUAACAGGCUGAUACCGCCCAAGAGUUCAUAUCGACGGCGGUGUUUGGCACCUCGAUGUCGGCUCAUCACAUCCUGGGGCUGAAGUAGGUCCCAAGGGUAUGGCUGUUCGCCAUUUAAAGUGGUACGCGAGCUGGGUUUAGAACGUCGUGAGACAGUUCGGUCCCUAUCUGCCGUGGGCGCUGGAGAACUGAGGGGGGCUGCUCCUAGUACGAGAGGACCGGAGUGGACGCAUCACUGGUGUUCGGGUUGUCAUGCCAAUGGCACUGCCCGGUAGCUAAAUGCGGAAGAGAUAAGUGCUGAAAGCAUCUAAGCACGAAACUUGCCCCGAGAUGAGUUCUCCCUGAGACUUUAGGUCUCCUGAAGGAACGUUGAAGACGACGACGUUGAUAGGCCGGGUGUGUAAGCGCAGCGAUGCGUUGAGCUAACCGGUACUAAUGAACCGUGAGGCUUAACCUUACAACGCCGAAG
rnacentral:rRNA from 1 species